AAUAACAAACGUCAUUGCGGUCGGUCAACUGGGGUAUCCCGUACGUUUGGUUGAAGAAAAGAAAGGUUGUACAAAGAAAAAAUUGCAGUACAGAAAAAAUAAAAAUAAAAAUGGAAAUACCAAAAACAAAACACUCGUAGAGAGAAUAAAAAUUAGCAGAAAAAAAUGUAUAAAUACAUACAAAAACACUAAUACUCAGCCAAAGUGAAAAGCACACGACAGGACUUGAGCAGAAGCUUUAAAAAAAACACACACACUGUAUAUAUGUAUGUAGCUAUCUGCACAUGAGUGUACUACAACAAAAAUUCUGCUGGCACAUAUACUCAAAUGUCGUAUGCUUCUCAAUGUGUGUAUAUGUGUGUAAAUGGCGGUGUUCGGCUACUUCUGCUGAGGAAGAGAAAGAAGAUGAUGAUUCGACUAGAGACGCGAGAGUCACCCUUAAGAAGGGUCAAAGUGGGGGGCUGGCAAGCAAGCAUGCAGGCAGGCAGGCAACAACAUUGGGGCAGGCAAUCGAAAGGAGAAAAAAUUUUGCAAUAUAAAAAUGGAACAGCGAAUAAAUGAAACAAACCAACGAACUGACUGGAACGAAAAGGUAGAAGGAGAUAGAAAGUGCGAGCGUCGGCAAAGACGACUAGCGUCUGACUAUUGGAGCAUGGUUAAAAUUCCGCGACACCAUUGCCACACCAUAAUAUCAGCGCCCAACAACUUGGAUCGGCAUUCGAUUGUUUGUGCGAGUAUAGUAUGCCGGUCUAACCGUCUGCCAUCGAAGGUUCGUCUGUUUGCAGUCAUACAGUGAAGUGAAAUAUAAGCAAGUUAAAUAAAAACGCAGAUGCAGAAACGAACGAACUCUUCAAAAAGUCUGUAUCCCAAUACAUAUAUAUAUAUAUACACACAGGCGUACAUACGUACUACAUAAGGCUUAUACAUAUGUACGUAAGUGUGUAUAAAAACUGUGGCGAUGCUGGAAGUAAGACUUACUACCACCACACCUUAUCAAAUGGUCAAAGGACGAAUGGAAGUAUUGAUUAAUUGGAAACACGAACAUCAAUGAAUUUCAAAUAAUUUUAAUCGUUGCUAAGGGACUUCGAAGCAUAUAGUUUAAAUAACAACAAAAAAUUAAUGUCAAUAAUAUUUUUGAAGUUCUAAGAAGCACGUCAGAACAGAAAAAGCUUCUCAAGGUAGAGCAACGUCAUUACAAAAGAUAUCGCUAGGCUAGAUAAUAGAAUUUCCUUCGACUAGCCAAUUCUACAGCCUACACAAAAAAUAAACAUAAACACAAGUAUAAAAAAUAUAAUAAAACAUCCAUACAUACGAAAUAACUAAUAUUGAAACAUGGAAAUUAGUUUCGAAUGUCCUCAAACCGUUGAUCAGCAGUACAAUAAAUGGGAAAUAUCGAAGAGCACCAUAAACUAUAAUGGGAUUAAAACGAGUUAAAUAUUAUAAAUUCAAAAGAUGUUUGACAAGUACAUAAAAACAACAACCGAAUAAAUCGUGUAAAAAAUAGAUGAUCUAAUUGUAUGAUUUACAUCACUGAUUUCCUGUUUCUUCAGAAUAAAAUUUCGAAAUAAUAUAUACCACAAACUCUAACGUUUUUCCAGUAGUCAUCAGCAGGUA